AUUGAACGCUGGCGGCAGGCGUAACACAUGCAAGUCGAGCGGAAACGAGUUAUCUGAACUUUCGGGGAACGAUAACGGCGUCGAGCGGCGGACGGGUGAGUAAUGCCUAGGAAAUUGCCCUGAUGUGGAGGAUAACCAUUGGAAACGAUGGCUAAUACCGCAUGAUGCCUACGGGCCAAAGAGGGGGACCUUCGGGCCUCUCGCGUCAGGAUAUGCCUAGGUGGGAUUAGCUAGUUGGUGAGGUAAGGGCUCACCAAGGCGACGAUCCCUAGCUGGUCUGAGAGGAUGAUCAGCCACACUGGAACUGAGACACGGUCCAGACUCCUACGGGAGGCAGCAGUGGGGAAUAUUGCACAAUGGGCGCAAGCCUGAUGCGGCCAUGCCGCGUGUAUGAAGAAGGCCUUCGGGUUGUAAAGUACUUUCAGUCGUGAGGAAGGUAGUGUAGUUAAUAGCUGCAUUAUUUGACGUUAGCGACAGAAGAAGCACCGGCUAACUCCGUGCCAGCAGCCGCGGUAAUACGGGGGGUGCGAGCGUUAAUCGGAAUUACUGGGCGUAAAGCGCAUGCAGGUGGUUUGUUAAGUCAGAUGUGAAAGCCCGGGGCUCAACCUCGGAAUAGCAUUUGAAACUGGCAGACUAGAGUACUGUAGAGGGGGGUAGAAUUUCAGGUGUAGCGGUGAAAUGCGUAGAGAUCUGAAGGAAUACCGGUGGCGAAGGCGGCCCCCUGGACAGAUACUGACACUCAGAUGCGAAAGCGUGGGGAGCAAACAGG
rnacentral:rRNA from 1 species